AACUUUGGCGUGUCUCAGAAUCACCUGGUGGACUGAUUAAAAGACUGAUUGCUGGGCCCUACCCCAGAAUUUCUUAUUAGCUACAUUCCUAACAAGUACGCAGGUGAUGCUGCGGCUGGUGGUCCUGAGAACCACAGCCUUGGACGGUUAGGAGUGCUUCUAAUAGCCGAGUGCAUGUGCGUGCGUGUGCUCUCGUUGUCAGGUGCUCUCGCCCGCACACCCAGGCUCACAACUUACACCUGUUACAGCCACUUGAAUGAACAGGACAAUUUGUGGUGACGACGAAAGGCCGGCUUUAAGGUGGCGCCGCCGGGCCAUCCCUUCCAUCCCGCCGCGUUCCCCCACCCCCACCCUGGGGAGUGAUGGCAGGGAGCGCCACAGGUAAUCCGGCUGACAGCGGGAACUGGACGGCUGGCGCGCGGGAAGGGCCUCGGCUGCCCCGGGGGACCGCUGCGGAGACCGGGUGCGGGGUCCACGCGGCUGGGGGACCCGGGCUGGGGCGGUCCGCGCACCAGGCCGCUCGCUGCCCGCCGCCCCCUGCCGGCUGCCCGGCCCGCGCGCCCUGAGUCGCCGCGGUGGGCAGGACUCGAGGUUUCCGGCGCGCGCCGCCGCAGGACGUUUCCAGCCCCGGCCCAUAUUUGGUGAAAGUCUUUCAGGACUCCGUCAUCCAGCUCCGGGGGGCGGCGGCGGCACUGGGAGCGGGUCCGGCGACGGCACGGCCGCAGCGCUGCUGCCGAGUGCCUGGGCCUCCGGCCGCGGGGUCUCAGGCGCGGCGGGCGCGGGAUCGAGCGCGCGCGGGAGACCGCCGCGGCCCAGGCCCAGCCCCAGCCCGCACCCCGGCGAGGGCCGAGGCCCAGCCCGCGCUGCGUGGGAGGCUGGCGCAGAGGGCGCCGCGGCCGGAUUAUGUCACUUUUCCCGUCCACCCCACUGUUGACUCUUCCUCCCAGCGGGGCAGCGAGUUGCUGCGUUGUGCCAGACUUAGAGGUAAUGACAGAAGCAAACAGUGCCACUCUAAGUCAGGCACCGUUUUGAAUGACUCCUGUAUGUUGACUCAUUUAACUCACCAGUGCCCCAUUGAAGCAGAUCUUCUUGUUAACACCAUUUUCUCUCUAAAGAAAUGGAGGCACAGAAGGUAA
rnacentral:lncRNA from 1 species